rnacentral:lncRNA from 1 species
UCUCAUGCUCUCUCUCAACCCUCUGCCACCCCUCAGCCUUCUAGCUCCGGUCGUCGGACCACCAUGACGGCCGCCAGUUGCCGGCGACGGCGCCGCCGUACACGGUGGCCGACAACAUAAAAAAGAAAGACCUUUGAUCAUUUUACUGCCCUUUACCCCGAUCUAAGGCCAAAAAUCCAAAAAAAAAGGAGAACCCUUCGGAUCUGCCCUCCUCCGUUGUGAUUGUUUGGCUAACCCUGAGGGUUAGUCGGCCUUGCAAAAUGGAAAGCGAGAUGCCGGCAAAAAGGUAAAAGAUUUUGAUUUUAUUUUUACUUUAUAUCUUUUAAAGAAUAAAAUAUCACCCCUUUUUUUGAGUUUAAAUCUGAUUUCAAGUUUUGUAUUUGAUUGUCUGUUUAAAUUACAUUGAUAUGUUUGGCUUUUAUAGCCAUUUACAACAUUGUAUAUUAGGUCUAUUAUUUUGCUUUCAUUUCUGCCUACUCUAUCUUCUCUUUUUGUUCUGGUGCAAAGGCAGUAGCUAGGGUGUCAGGCCUCGGGACGGGGAGCCUCGAGACGAGCGUGCUGAAGUGGCUGAGGGCAGUGGCGCACAUGGGAGUUGGAAACCCUAGGGUUUCUGAAUUAGAUUCGAUUGUGGGCCUAUUAAUUGGGCUUAGGGUUUUUAUUUUGGGUUUGUAAUAUCUUGGACUUGGCCUCUUUUAUUAUUAUUUUGUUUUAUUUAUUUGGUUUUGGGCUCGGG